UAGGGAAUCUUCCACAAUGGACGCAAGUCUGAUGGAGCAACGCCGCGUGAGUGAAGAAGGUUUUCGGAUCGUAAAGCUCUGUUGUUGGUGAAGAAGGAUAGAGGCAGUAACUGGCCUUUAUUUGACGGUAAUCAACCAGAAAGUCACGGCUAACUACGUGCCAGCAGCCGCGGUAAUACGUAGGUGGCAAGCGUUGUCCGGAUUUAUUGGGCGUAAAGCGAGCGCAGGCGGAAGAAUAAGUCUGAUGUGAAAGCCCUCGGCUUAACCGAGGAACUGCAUCGGAAACUGUUUUCUUGAGUGCAGAAGAGGGGAGUGGAACUCCAUGUGUAGCGGUGGAAUGCGUAGAUAUAUGGAAGAACACCAGUGGCGAAGGCGACUCUCUGGUCUGCAACUGACGCUGAGGCUCGAAAGCAUGGGUAGCGAACAGGAUUAGAUACCCUGGUAGUCCAUGCCGUAAACGAUGAGUGCUAAGUGUUGGGAGGUUUUCCGCCUCUCAGUGCUGCAGCUAACGCAUUAAGCACUCCGCCUGGGGGAGUACGACCGCAAGGUUGAAAC
rnacentral:rRNA from 1 species